CUACGUCCUAGAGGACCAAGCCAGUGCUGCAAAGGAAGCGAUACGCCAGGCGGGAGUCAUGAUGGAGCAGGUGAAGGCCAUCCGGGAGGCAAGCCAGGCAGCCUACGACGCCAGUUCUGCUCUUCAAAGCAACGUUCAGAAAUCCUGCGACCUUGCGGCUCGUUACACCGAGCUGGAGAACAAGCACAUCCAGCUCGAGCUGGAUCUGAAGCUGGUCUAGGAGAAUCUGACGAAGGCGAAGGAGGAGACCAAAGGCAAGGUGAAGGAGGCCCAGAAGAAGAAAGACCUUGAGCUAGCUGAGAAGACCAAGCUUGCUGACGAGAAGUUAGC